GAUGAACGCUGGCGGCGUGCCUAAUACAUGCAAGUAGAACGCUGAAGGAGGAGCUUGCUCUUCUGGAUGAGUUGCGAACGGGUGAGUAACGCGUAGGUAACCUGCCUGGUAGCAGGGGAUAACUAUUGGAAACGAUAGCUAAUACCGCAUGACAACAGUUAUUGCAUGAUAACUGUUUAAAAGGGGCAACUGCUCCACUACCAGAUGGACCUGCGUUGUAUUAGCUAGUUGGUGAGGUAACGGCUCACCAAGGCGACGAUACAUAGCCGACCUGGGAGGGUGAUCGGCCACACUGGGACUGAGACACGGCCCAGACUCCUACGGGAGGCAGCAGUAGGGAAUCUUCGGCAAUGGACGGAAGUCUGACCGAGCAACGCCGCGUGAGUGAAGAAGGUUUUCGGAUCGUAAAGCUCUGUUGUAAGAGAAGAACGAGUGUGAGAGUGGAAAGUUCACACUGUGACGGUAUCUUACCAGAAAGGGACGGCUAACUACGUG
rnacentral:rRNA from 1 species